rnacentral:lncRNA from 8 species
UUAAUUAGCUAGCAAUUUACCUUACCUUGAUUUUCUUUUUAUAAUUGCCCUUUCUGAAACCCAAGUUUAUGUAGUUAAAUUGAGCUAUUGAGUUUACAUGAAAGGGGAAAAAAUUAUAUGUUAAUUGAUGCUGGAAUAAAGUGAGCUUGCAAGCUAACAAGCGACGUUCGCUAACUAUCGAGCAAUCAAUAUAUUAGCAACCGGAAGACUGUUAAUUUAGUAACGUAUGCAGUAUUUUGUCAAAUGUAGCCUAUUGCUAUAAUCCAUGUUGUCGGUUUAAUUAUUAGUGAAGGAGGACUUGCCUCUCAAAAUGUGUGGCAGCAAGGUGAUAUCGAUAGAGAGAUAGUGCAAGCUUUCUCUAUAACGGCUGGGAUUUUGUAGAAUGACGCUGUUAACAAAAAUGAAGUUAUCUUUAGUUUUUAUUAUUGAAAUUUGAAUUUUAUCAUAUUCGAAGUAAGUAAAUGUUCAACGGCCGACGCCAAUCAAUCCUUUUUUUUUGGAGGGAGAUGACAUUACAGUGACAACUUCCACAGCACACACUACUUGAAUGUGUUGCUAUCUAUAGGCUUGAUCACUGUUUGAUGACCAUUUUCCUUUUGCAAACGUUAUUAGUAGUGCUUGACUUGGACCGAAAUGGGUUCCGGUACUGUUUUAUAUUUAGGUGCUCCACAAUACUUUUAAACAUAUAUUCUAUAAGAGGUACAGGAGCUCAAACAGUAGAACAUUUGAGGUGCAGGUACUCGGCUCUGGCGAUCUCCUGCCCAAGUCAAGCGCUGCUUGUUAGCUGAUAUGACAACAUUUCUCUGUGUUCAUGCUUUUCUCUGCAGGCCUACAGUAAACUCUUGAGGGAGACCUGUGACAGUGGACGAUGCCCCAGACAACGAGUAACCCCCCGGGCUUGUGCAUUGGUGCCAAAACCAUUCCAGAGAGAAAGCAGAUAUAUUCAUGCAAUGGUAUACUGGACCCUGCUCCAGGGUCUAGGUACAAGCAGGCCUAUCCUUUCAGGUAUAGGUGGAAAUGGAGGAAGAAGUCAAAAAAAAAAAAAACGCCGCCAUUGCCACCAGCCCCACCUCUGCCACCAUAUGAGGAAGAAAACUGGGAGGAGGAGAUUGUCUCAAAGAUUCCUUAUGGAUUUGCUCCAUAUGGCCCAGAGGAUGUGGAUAGAGUGGCCCUACAGGGGUUGACCCUGAACCAGACCCCCUGUCCUUCCCACCCCCAGACAGCAACCGACUACAGCCCUGCCACCCACCACCAAGCCCCCGUCAAAUGGGUCCGCCACAUCAUCCGUAUUGUGGAGGAGCAGUUUGUCGACGCAGAGGCUUGAGGUCCGGUGUGUCCCGAUAACAAACAAAAAAAGUGUAACUCUUUAAUCGUAAGCUCUUAGGAAUGAUUUUAGUUGGUUUCUCAGGUGUUUAAGUUCUACUUGUUCCUUGGUUUGUUGUUAAUGAAUUAGGAUGUCGUAUUUGUAGCCUAGGUGACAGUUGGGUUACAUGUUAACACUUCAUGAUUUUUUUUGUGAAUAAUUUCAAUAGAUGUCUAGUCUAACUCUCUUAACUAAAAGAGAGAUUGUAGUUUUUAUCUUUAAAUACUUUUGUUUUAAAAACAAUCAACUGGUAUAGGCCCAUGUGUUCAAGUGUCGCUCUCCCUUUAAAAUCUAAUUUGUUAAAAUGGAGAGGGCACAGUGCAAUAAUAAGUAUGUUUGGAUGUAUUCUCAAAUGGACUUACCUGAUUGGACUGAUUCUGAGCCCAUGGAGAGCAAGAGGUCAGGUUGCCAUGACUACAGCACCCUGUAAGACACAACCCACUGGGCACAGAUGUCAAUUCAACGUCUAUUCCAAGUUGGUUCAAUGUAAUUUCAUUGAAAUGGUGUGGAAAUAAUGUUGAUUCAACCAGUGUGCGCCCAGUGGGAAUGAAAUUCAGCUUUUGAGAUCCAAGAUAUCUUUAAUGCAAAUAAACCAUGCAUUUUAACAACAAAACUCUACACUGAUGCUUCAUUCCCACUGUUUUUCUUGUAGUGGUAGUAGUUCAGAAGAGAGAAUUGUAGCAUUAGAUGCCCACUAGGUGGCAGUGUUGGUUAAAUAUUACAUUCACCUCCAUUGCGCUGAAUUCUUUCCAUGCAGCUCUGGGUUUAUAUAGUGAGUUCAUUCAGUUCAUAGGCCCCGUUCAAAUACAAAAAAAUGCAUCCAUCCUUCCUUUCUGCCUUUCUUGAAAGUAAUCACAGAUCUGAAUUGGUGAAAACAAGAAGGAGCUAACCUUGCUGUGGGCCCGGUUUCCCUAAACCAUCUUAACCUUAAGUUCAUCGUUAGUACCUUCGUAGGAGCAUUGUUAAAUCUCUGAGCUGUUCACCAAAACUAUUUGUUAUUAACGUUGAACUUGAAAAUGCUUGUAAUCUUAACGCCUGCCUUAGACCACUCAUAAAACACUUAAAUGUAUUGUUGGUGUGUAGCCCAAACUGUUCGGACGCUACAGAAGUUGGCUGUACCGACUUCAGACGAGUCCCAAUACGCUUGUGGGGGUCGUAGAGCAAAACGAAGAACACCAUCGUGUUCGUGAGAGUCAUCGUUCCACAGAGGGAUCAUAAUAGUUUUGUAGGCCAAACCGUUCAGACACUACAGACGGGAUAUUCGGGAUGUCCCAUGGCCUGACACACGGCUCUAGCUCUGCCACCUUUCACCGCAGAUGUGGACGUCGGCGGAUGUGGUGGAUUGAGACGUAUCCAAUGCAACAAAAAAAACAUAUCCCUAGUUUAAACUGACAGAUUCUGAUGGGGAUGUUGUUAUUAUGCUAAUUAGACUAACGUGCGCAACGAUGUGACAAAUCGGUGUAUUUUUUUUGCCUGUUUAUUGGGUAAGCUUUAUAAUAAGCCGCCUCAAUAUUGCAGCCGUAGUUGGUAAUAUCUCUAGGAGCUGAGCCGUCGUC